GCAGGUUAAUAUGCAUGGAAAGCAAAUAAAAUAAUUGCCUAUUGUCAAACCAUGGCAACAUGAAAGGAUCUGAAAAUGUAAAAGCAGGCUAAGAAAAAUGGAUAAAUGACCACAACUAUGGGAUUUGCUGGAGCUCAAGUACCUAGGGAAACUGGAAAGCAUGAACUCUCCACAACCCUGAAGCCUGAUAUCAAUUAUUAAGGGGAAGUUCACCAUGCUGAUUGCAGCCACUCUGCAACAUUAGAACACCGUGUGAGAUUUGGCCAUUGCUGCUGCAGGCAUCAAAGUGCUCACCAAUAAUUGCAGUCAAAGAGUGAGCAUUGGAGGGCAUGGAAUUUUUUCUGCACAGGUUAUAUGACUGAUUGGACCUCAGAAAAAAACUGAGGAAGAGAGAGAAGAAGAAAUCUAUAUGUGUUUCCUGCAGCAUAAUCCAAAACAGUGCUGGUAGAAUGUCAAGAUAAAUCCUACACCCUGUGAAUGUGCAAUUAUCAUGCCCUGAGAAAAAGCACUUGAUUUUUUUAGAGGGACACAGCAAGUUUGGAUGAUGUUUAAUAUAAUAUCCUUCUCAUGGGCUCGUUAAAUAUCACAUUGCAGAGCCCAAAUGCUGUGGUGGUUUUUUUGGUUUUUUGUUUGUUUGGGGGUGUUUUGUUUUUUUGUUGUUUUUUUUUUUUUUUUUUUAAAGUUCAGUCUUUCAAAACAGAAUGGUGUCCUGUAAUUAAAUCUAUCACAACACUUAUUUUAGAGACCUCGAAUUUGUAGAAUUGAUUGAAUGGUUUAUUUUGUGUUCAUCUCUCCCUCUUGUGGCAGAGUUCAGCAAGGAAAAGGGUUGCUAUUUACAUUUAAAUUGAAACGUGGGUAAUCCUGAAUAUUAUAUGCUUCCAACAUCAGGAUGUUUCUAGGUAUGUUUAAGUUACAGAAUGUUAUGAACUAUUAAGGAUAUAAUUUGAUCUCCUCAAAUAAAUAGUUCACAUUUGCACUUACAUAGCACAGAAAUAUCAUCAUCUCAUUAGACUUUACCUUAACCCUCACUUGUUAAAUGACUGUGUAGGUUAUGCUGUAAAAUGGAUGUGUGUAAGUUAAACAUUUUUUUUGAGAAACCUUUUGAAAGCAGGAGAUUUUUUUUUAAUUUACAUGAAUGUUGUCAUAUUAAUAAUAUUUUUUCUCUAGGGGAAAAAAUACACUAAAUAUCAGUGCAUGGUAAAUGUUACUAUAACAGAAAACUGUAUUGAACCACAUACUGCCUCAUUGCUUAAGGGAGCUGCAACAGUUAUAGAUUUCUCCCAAGGGACAAAACAUAUUUUCAAAAAGCUAUUUCUUCAGUUUGUUCCCCUCACUCAUUUGACAUCCUUUUAUACAGACUGAGUCAUUUUGUUUUGUUAUCAGUCUAAUAUGCUGUUGGACCUCUCAGAUGGUGUUUUGAAAAAUAAAAGAUUAAGGGAAACAAAAAAAAAUUGCUCUUUAAAAAAAAAAAAAAAAGGCACCGAAACCAAACAAUCAAAACAAACCAUGAACCCCAAAAUUUGUAAUUAUGACCAUAAAACUCAGCCAGAAGGGUUUUCUGAUGAAAAUUAUGUAUGAGGUGUGUUUUUCAGGGAGAGGUGCAUGUACAUGUGUGAAAAGAUGUGCACCAAUAAUUUUCCUUUCCUCUAUGUGCAGGUUGACAACCACUAGUUUAGAGGGAUAGACAAGAGGAAAUAUCCUCAAGUUGUGCCAGGGUAGGUUUAGAUUGGAUAUUAGGAAAAUUUCCACACUGAAAGAGUUGUCUAGCCCUGCCACAGGCUGUCCAGGGCAGUGGCGGAGUUCCCAUCCCUGGAGGGAUUUAAAAGACAUGUAGAUGUGGCACUUGAGAAAAUGGUUUGGUGCUGGGCUUGGCAGAGCUGGGUUAAUGAUUGGACUCAGUCUUAGAGGUCUUUUCCAACCUAAAUGGUUGUAAGAUUUACCGAGAACUGGUGGCAAAGCAGUCAAGGUUCCAAUACCUUGGACUGGAUCUUCUUGCUUGGGCUCUGACUGGUGGUGGAUUCUGAUUGUUCCACUGUGAGUCAGCAGUCAGCACACUGGGAGACAGACAUGAAAUCUGCAUCCCUUCCUCAUGCACCAUACCCUGUAGAUAGUGGGGUAUCCACCUACCAGAAUGUGAAGAGGCUUCUAAGGGUCUUUUAAAUUGUCCAGUGUGUUUAAGACAUUCAUAUAGAAGUGAGUUGUGUAACAAAAAACCUACUUAUCUCCUUCAGGAGGAAUUGCAGAAUUCUGCUGAGUUGCUUUAUUCUCAAAGCACACUGGAAGCUGCAGAGACUGCUCAAUAAAACUCUGGUGGAUGAGAUUAACCUUGGAAUUACAACACAUUUAUGUGUGCAUUAACAAUAACUCCACUAACUCAUUGGGAGCUAAAAUACUGUCUCUCUGGAAGAUUACUAUCUUUACCUCUUAAUCUAGCUCUGAAUCCUACCCUAAUAUACCUUAAACAUGUCAGCUUAAUGAUCAGAUUAAGUUUGUAAAAGCUAUGGGCAUGCUUUGCAUUGAGACAGCUCUGAAAAGGGCAGGCUCUCAGUUCCCUUGAAAACAAAGCUCAAAAGCCAAACAAGUGUCUUCUUCAAAUUCUGAUUUUGAAAAAGUCUUUAAAGGAAUCAGUAUUUUCAAUUAAAUCAUUUAAGAUUUAGUGAUUUAUACUGGAACACAAACGUUCCUGAUAAUGCUUUUAGCAUUCUUUUAAAAAUUUUCAACUUUUUCACUUGAGAGUUGUUUGCCUGACACUGUUUGUCCAUCUGGUCAGGUCAUUUGUUCCUCACCAUGGCAACUGGGUUAUUGUACAUCAGUGGUCUGAAGCAUAAAUGUAUUUAUUGUCCUUAUUGUUGUCUCUAGGGUGAGGAAAUGAGGGUUGUCUUACAACAUGAAAACAAUAAGGUCUGUAGCCAGCUUUUUUUCUCUGUGAGUAGAAGUGUCUCAAUCAUAGUUCAUCACUGUUCAAAAUGGCAUUUGUGUCUGUUUCCUCAUAGUCUCCCUCUUGCUGAUAGUUUCAUCUUUUCUAAAAGACAUUAGGCUGAGCCAGAGGGAAAGCUUUUCAGUGAGAUAUUAGUUUCCUUUGCUGGGAGAUUAAAAGCCUCAAGUCUUGACCUUCUCGUUUCUGAUCUGUAUUAACAUAGUGGAUAGGAUUUUGAUCACAGGGUUUGGGAUUUUGUUCCUACAAGCAACAAAAUAAGCCCUGUUAGAGAUUACAGCAUCUGUGUUUGCUUUGCCAAGUCAACCCAUGGUGGGACAUGGUGUUUGCAGUUGUUUGCAGGAAGAACCAAGCAAACUGAAAUAAAUUGCUCUCUUGGAAUUGCUCAA